rnacentral:tRNA from 1 species
AACUAUUUAUAGAAUUUUAUCUAUCUAACAAGAUCCUAAAUCUAGCACAUACUCUGUCAAAAUAGU